rnacentral:rRNA from 1 species
GAUGAACGCUAGCGGGAGGCUUAAUACAUGCAAGUCGAGCGGUAAUUUAGGAAUAGCAAUAUUUCUGAGCUAGAGCGGCGCACGGGUGAGUAACGCGUACACGACCUGCCCUUUACUGGGGGAUAGCCUUGGGAAACUGAGAUUAAUACCCCAUGGUAUUAUUAUGCUGCAUGGUAUAAUAAUUAAAGCUGAGGCGGUAAAGGAUGGGUGUGCGUCUGAUUAGCUAGUUGGUAGGGUAACGGCCUACCAAGGCGAUGAUCAGUAGGGGGCGUGAGAGCGUGACCCCCCACACGGGUACUGAGACACGGACCCGACUCCUACGGGAGGCAGCAGUAAGGAAUAUUGGUCAAUGGAGGGAACUCUGAACCAGCCAUCCCGCGUGCAGGAUGGAA